AAUGAGUGGUGUACUUCCACAAGGUAUAAGUUUGCAGUGACAAAGUCAAUUAAUUCCUUAACUGAUGCCUUUACUGAUGGUGGGUUAAGUGAGAAAUGUUUAGUGCUGGCUUGGAAAUUCUGUUAGUGCUUUCUUGAAGUUUAUUUUGUAUACAAAUUGAAUUUUGCUAUUGGUAAUGGUUACAUUUUGUUAUAAUUGUUUUCCUAGAUCCCAGAACUAAUAACUGGUGUACUUUGCUGCCUCAGAUUUUAUCUUUGAUUUCUUUUGAAUAGAAUUUUGUAAUUGUCCUUCUUGAUAUGUUUGGGAGAUUUCUGGUAUGCGGACUCUUGCAAGAUCUAGGAAGGCACAGCUGGAUUUCAGCAGAUUUUUUAAUGUCUAUGUGAUUUACCAGUUGGUUUGGUAUUCCGGGAUGAUUGGUUAGGUAUCCAAGUAGCAGAAUGGCAUGAUAAAAGAGAAUGUAUUAUCGUUUUUCCAUUUAAUUCCUGCUUGAUGGAAAUAUUAGAUUGAGGUGCUUGGUUUGAUUUGUUUAUCUUCAUUUUAAUAACAUUAUUUUUGGGGGUUUGCUUUUAAAGUGCGUGUCUUUUGUAGAAGUUGAUUUGGUUAUUGAUGUACAAUAUAUAUAUUUUUAUUUUUAUUUUUUAUGAACGAUAGUUUAAGUGCUAAUUUAUUGUUUGGCUAUAUUUGCUUGUGUAAAUGACAUUUUCUGGGUUCAGGAUCUCCACAGGUAAUUUCCAU
rnacentral:misc_RNA from 1 species